rnacentral:rRNA from 1 species
GGCAUGCCUUACACAUGCAAGUCGAACGGUAACGGGCCUUCGGGUGCCGACGAGUGGCGAACGGGUGAGUAAUACAUCGGAACGUGCCCAGUAGUGGGGGAUAGCUCGGCGAAAGCCGGAUUAAUACCGCAUACGACCUACGGGUGAAAGCGGGGGACCGCAAGGCCUCGCGCUAUUGGAGCGGCCGAUGCCAGAUUAGGUAGUUGGUGGGGUAGAGGCCUACCAAGCCUGCGAUCUGUAGCUGGUCUGAGAGGACGACCAGCCACACUGGGACUGAGACACGGCCCAGACUCCUACGGGAGGCAGCAGUGGGGAAUUUUGGACAAUGGGCGCAAGCCUGAUCCAGCCAUGCCGCGUGCGGGAAGAAGGCCUUCGGGUUGUAAACCGCUUUUGUCAGGGAAGAAAUAUGCCGAGCUAAUACCUCGGCAGGAUGACGGUACCUGAAGAAUAAGCACCGGCUAACUACGUGCCAGCAGCCGCGGUAAUACGUAGGGUGCAAGCGUUAAUCGGAAUUACUGGGCGUAAAGCGUGCGCAGGCGGCCGCGCAAGACAGGUGUGAAAUCCCCGGGCUCAACCUGGGAACUGCACUUGUGACUGCGUGGCUGGAGUACGGCAGAGGGGGAUGGAAUUCCGCGUGUAGCAGUGAAAUGCGUAGAUAUGCGGAGGAACACCGAUGGCGAAGGCAGUCCCCUGGGCCUGUACUGACGCUCAUGCACGAA